UACGUAGGGUGCGAGCGUUGCCCGGAUUUAUUGGGCUUAAAGGGCGCGUAGGCGGCUCGGCACGUCCGUUGUGAAAUCGCCCGGUUCAACUGGGCGGGGUCAGCGGAUACGGUCGAGCUUGAGCAAGCUAGGGGGCAAUGGAAUUCCCGGUGUAGUGGUGGAAUGCGUAGAGAUCCGGAGGAACACCAGCGGCGAAGGCGGCAUCCUGGACUGGUCCUGACACUCAGGAGCGAAAGCGUGGGGAGCGAUCCGG
rnacentral:rRNA from 1 species